rnacentral:rRNA from 1 species
GACGAACGCUGGCGGCGUGCCUAAUACAUGCAAGUCGAACGCUUCUUUUUCUACCGAGUUGCUUGCAACUCACCGAAUAAGAAGAGUGGCGGACGGGUGAGUAACACGUGGGUAACCUGCCCAUUAGGAGGGGGAUAACACUUGGAAACAGGUGCUAAUACCGCAUAAUUCUUUUAACCGCAUGGUUGAAAGAUGAAACGACGCUUUACGGGUGUCACUAAUGGAUCGGACCCGCGGUGCUAUUAGGUUAGUUGGUAAGGGUAACUGGACCUACCAAGACCGUGAUGCAUAGCCGA